AGAGAAAUGCUUUGAUGCGCAGAAAUAAAGGUGGAAAUGCUCAAAAUCCUGAACACAAGGAAGCCAACAAGAAAAAGUUAACUGAACAAGACUAUCACUUGUUGGCCAAAGUCCUGUCAGUUGGAUUGGUAGACGCAGACCCCAAUUAUCUUCAACACCUCAAGAACUACAGGGACCUGCGUGGUAGCACUUCCUGAAGGAUCCACACACCAGGAAAUGUACGGCACAGUUAUUUCUGGAGCCAAUCACAUUUGGUACCCUGGAAAAGUUAUCCACCUAUAUAAAAAAACAUUAACGGGCAAUGUGAGAAUGAAGAAGGAUCCUCUCAUGGGCCCACAGUUGUCAUUGGAGUGAUGUGCUGCCCUUUUAUUUUAUUAGUUGAUUGAUGAAUAAUGUAAUGAUUAGUUAUAAAACUGCAUAUUUUACUAUUUGUCCCAUGGCAAAAUGGGUAGAAUUGUAAGAAUUUAGCUGACCCCCCCCCCAAAAAAAACAACAACUAUAAUAGCUCACAUACUGUUCAUGAUUUCCACUUAACAGAUAUGUGCAAUAUAAAAGUGUUUAUACAGCUUCUGGAAACAUAAUGAUAUUCCAAUCUCAAGACUAAAAUUUAAAGUAAGAUAUUUUAUCACCUCGUGUAUACUCUCAUAUUCUCAUUUGGUCAAGUUGUAGCCAGAGAAUUAGAAAGUGGAAAAUUAUUGUUUUGAAAAUGUGAUAACUUCUUGGUAGGAAAGGACUAAACCGAUCAACUGAG